rnacentral:rRNA from 1 species
GUACCGCGGCUGCUGGCACGGAGUUAGCCGGUGCUUAUUCCUGAGAUACCGUCACACCCUGAACAUACAGGGGUUUCUUCCCUCAGAAAAGGAGUUUACGCCCCAUAGGGGUGUCUUCCUCCACGCGGCAUGGCUGCAUCAGGGUUGCCCCCAUUGUGCAAGAUUCCCCACUGCUGCCUCCCGUAGGAGUCUGGCCCGUGUCUCAGUGCCAGUGUGACUGAUCGUCCUCUCAGACCAGCUACGGAUUGUUACCUUGGUGAGCCGUUACCUCACCAACAAGCUAAUCCGACGCAGACCCAUCCAAAGGCCCCUGCAAAGCAGGGUUUCAUCUGGUGCCCAUGCGGGCUCCAGACGUCGUGCGGUAUUAGCUACGGUUUCCCGUAGUUGUCCCGCGCCUGAAGGCAGGUUAUCUACGCGUUACGCACCCGUUCGCCACUGUACUUGGUUCUGGCAAAGCCAGAACGUUCUCGUGCGACUUGCAUGUGUUAAGCCUGCCGCCAGCGUUCGUCCUGAGCCAUGAUCAAACUC